rnacentral:lncRNA from 1 species
AAGUAGAGAAAGCCAUGUUUACAUACUGUAAUAUUUCUUUAAGAGAAGCUGUUUUUAAUUUACUAAGAAUACAUUCACAAGAUUUUUGAACAAGAACAUCUUGUUCUGGCAUAUACUAAAAUGUGACUUAUUUUCCUGAGAAAUUAAAGCAAGUUUUGUCUGUAUGUAGAGUGUAAUAUUGUGAGCACAGUUAUUGGCUCACAGAGAUUCAGCUUGAAUUCCUGCAGUAAAUAUUUUUAUAUUGGAAUGAUUUUGUAGGUCACAGAGAAUUUAGUGACUUUUUAUAUAUACUAUCUAGUAUAUAUAUGAGAGAGGUAAUUGAAAAAAAUAGACUUUAAAAAUAAUAGCAUUCUAUAAAUAGUAGGAUAUCUCUAUAAAGCAUAUAAUAUCUAGUGUCCUUCCAGUCAGUGAAAUUUAAUUCCUUCCUCAUCACUAUAAUGUAAAUGCACAUGUCU